CUACAGGAAAACUGAGUUAUAAUUUUCCCAUCUGCUAUUAUACUUAGCUGCUUAUAGAAAAAUGGUCAUGUUAAUGGUUAACUUUUGGAAUAGUAAUUUCUGAGAUUGGCAGCCCUCUGCCCAAAAUAAUGAGCAUGCUAAUUAUUAACUUCUGUCACAGCUAUAGUUCUGGAGAAAGCAAAGUAUGUCUAAAGUCCUAAAAACCUCAAAAAAAAUUUUUUGUUGAAAUUUUAUUGCUAAAUAGUAAUGAUACUUUAAAGCAAUUUUCUUACAGAUAAGUAUUUACUCCCAUUAGGAUAAUUUCUCUCAACUUCUGAUUGAUUUUCUUAAGUGCAUUUCAGAAAGCAUGAAUAUAUGGUUAUUAGUAAUUUGCACACUGUAACAGUAAGUUUUCAGAGGAAAUAGUCUGUUUUAACACCUUUCAGGUGUGGUAUCC
rnacentral:lncRNA from 1 species